rnacentral:rRNA from 1 species
UAGGGAAUAUUGGGCAAUGGAGGGAACUCUGACCCAGCCAUGCCGCGUGCAGGAUGAAGGCGUUAUGCGUUGUAAACUGCUUUUAUAUAGGAAGAAAUAGUCCUUGCGAGGAAAGUUGACGGUACUAUAUGAAUAAGCACCGGCUAACUCCGUGCCAGCAGCCGCGGUAAUACGGAGGGUGCAAGCGUUGUCCGGAUUUAUUGGGUUUAAAGGGUGCGUAGGCGGUUUAUUAAGUCAGUGGUGAAAGACGGUCGCUCAACGAUUGCAGUGCCAUUGGUACUGGUAGACUUGAGUAUGAUUGAGGUAGCUGGAAUGGAUAGUGUAGCGGUGAAAUGCAUAGAUAUUAUCCAGAACACCAAUUGCGUAGGCAAGUUACUAAGUCAUAACUGACGCUGAGGCACGAAAGUGUGGGUAUCAAACAGGAUUAGAUACCCCUGUAGUCCCUGAGCGGGCUGGCAAGGCGCAU